CACGUCAAUGUGUGAAUUUGAGGUAGACACAGGUUAGCCAUGACAGCCUGCUGGAGAAUUGUGCAGAUAAGGGAACUUUGCCUGACAGUUUGCCCUGCUGUAUAUUUUUAAAUAAUCUUGCUACUCAGAGAAUACACAAGCCAUCUUAUUCUGAAAUGGCCUGAGUGCUUUUUUGUCCUCCAUUCUCCAGCAGAAUUAUCUGAGGGAGGCAAGAAAGGAAAAACUCACAAAUCCAUCCACAAUCCCAGUUUCCUCUGCCUACUAUCUGCCUGCCCGCAGCUGCACUCCACUCCCUCUUCUGCCCAGAGAAGGAGUGGGAAGGCAAAAGGAGAGAGCAUUUGGAUACUGCUAUACUUUGAGUUAAUUAUGCAGAGUCAUUCAGUGUCAAAUCGUGCUGGAACACAGGAUUUUCAGUGACAAAAUGUAGGUGAUGGCCAUCUUUUUGCACUUGACAUAAUUGAUCAAGAGGAUCAUAUAUGUAAAACUACUAAAACAGUCACCAGCAGGCU
rnacentral:lncRNA from 1 species